rnacentral:rRNA from 1 species
GAUGAACGCUGGCGGCGUGCUUAACACAUGCAAGUCGAACGAUGAAGCCCAGCUUGCUGGGUGGAUUAGUGGCGAACGGGUGAGUAACACGUGAGUAACCUGCCCUUAACUCUGGGAUAAGCCUGGGAAACUGGGUCUAAUACCGGAUAGGAGCGCCUACCGCAUGGUGGGUGUUGGAAAGAUUUAUCGGUUUUGGAUGGACUCGCGGCCUAUCAGCUUGUUGGUGAGGUAAUGGCUCACCAAGGCGACAACGGGUAGCCGGCCUGAGAGGGUGACCGGCCACACUGGGACUGAGACACGGCCCAGACUCCUACGGGAGGCAGCAGUGGGGAAUAUUGCACAAUGGGCGAAAGCCUGAUGCAGCGACGCCGCGUGAGGGAUGACGGCCUUCGGGUUGUAAACCUCUUUCAGUAGGGAAGAAGCGAAAGUGACGGUACCUGCAGAAGAAGCACCGGCUAACUACGUG